AUUGAACGCUGGCGGCAUGCCUUACACAUGCAAGUCGAACGGCAGCACGGGUGCUUGCACCUGGUGGCGAGUGGCGAACGGGUGAGUAAUACAUCGGAACAUGUCCUGUAGUGGGGGAUAGCCCGGCGAAAGCCGGAUUAAUACCGCAUACGAUCCACGGAUGAAAGCGGGGGACCUUCGGGCCUCGCGCUAUAGGGUUGGCCGAUGGCUGAUUAGCUAGUUGGUGGGGUAAAGGCCUACCAAGGCGACGAUCAGUAGCUGGUCUGAGAGGACGACCAGCCACACUGGGACUGAGACACGGCCCAGACUCCUACGGGAGGCAGCAGUGGGGAAUUUUGGACAAUGGGCGAAAGCCUGAUCCAGCAAUGCCGCGUGUGUGAAGAAGGCCUUCGGGUUGUAAAGCACUUUUGUCCGGAAAGGAAUCCUUGACUCUAAUACAGUCGGGGGAUGACGGUACCGGAAGAAUAAGCACCGGCUAACUACGUG
rnacentral:rRNA from 1 species